GAUGAACGCUGGCGGCGUGCUUAACACAUGCAAGUCGAACGGAAAGGCCCUGCGUUUGUGGGGUGCUCGAGUGGCGAACGGGUGAGUAACACGUGAGUAACCUGCCCUUGUCUUUGGGAUAACAUCAGGGAACAGGGGCUAAUACCGGAGAGGAGCUCCUGCUGCACGGUGGUGGUUGGAAAGUUUCGGCGGUUGGGGAUGGACUCGCGGCUUAUCAGCUUGUUGGUGAGGUAGUGGCGUACCAAGGCUUUGACGGGUAGCCGGCCUGAGAGCGUGACCGGCCACAAUAGGACUGAGGUACGGCCCAGUAUCCUACGGGAGGCAGCAGUGGGGAGUAUUACAGAAUGGGCGGAAGCCUGAGACAGCAACGCCGCGUGCGGGAUGACGGCCUUCGGGUUGUGAACCGAUUUCGCAUGUGACGAAGAGUGAGUGACGGUAAUGGGUAAAAAAGCACCGGCUAACUACGUG
rnacentral:rRNA from 1 species